rnacentral:rRNA from 1 species
GGAGGAAAAGAAACCAACCGGGAUUGCCUUAGUAACGGCGAGUGAAGCGGCAAAAGCUCAAAUUUGAAAUCUGGUACCUUCGGUGCCCGAGUUGUAAUUUGGAGAGGGCAACUUUGGGGCCGUUCCUUGUCUAUGUUCCUUGGAACAGGACGUCAUAGAGGGUGAGAAUCCCGUGUGGCGAGGAGUGCGGUUCUUUGUAAAGUGCCUUCGAAGAGUCGAGUUGUUUGGGAAUGCAGCUCUAAGUGGGUGGUAAAUUCCAUCUAAAGCUAAAUAUUGGCGAGAGACCGAUAGCGAACAAGUACAGUGAUGGAAAGAUGAAAAGAACUUUGAAAAGAGAGUGAAAAAGUACGUGAAAUUGUUGAAAGGGAAGGGCAUUUGAUCAGACAUGGUGUUUUGUGCCCUCUGCUCCUUGUGGGUAGGGGAAUCUCGCAUUUCACUGGGCCAGCAUCAGUUUUGGUGGCAGGAUAAAUCCAUAGGAAUGUAGCUUGCCUCGGUAAGUAUUAUAGCCUGUGGGGAAUACUGCCAGCUGGGACUGAGGACUGCGACGUAAGUCAAGGAUGCUGGCAUAAUGGUUAUAUGCCGCCCGUCUUGAAACA